rnacentral:lncRNA from 1 species
UCCUAUUUUUCAAAAAUCUUGUUAUUUUCCCAUUGUUAAUGAACUAAUAUAUACCUCUCCUCAAGUUUAAUUUCUCCUACUUGUUUGGCUCAAAAGAAAAUGAAGAACAUUCUUUUAGUUGGUAUUUACCCAUUGUUGCAUGUGACAGUUCUUUUCAUGGUACUUGUGCCGGCAAAAAGCCUUCAACCACAUCAUUGUAAGUGCAACGUUUUCAUCAUUUUUUGUUGUUAUGGUUUGACUAUUUUUGGCAUUUUAGAGUUAGAGGCUUAAUAUGCUUUCGAGUCAAGGGUUUACCCGUGCACACUUGAAGGGUAGUAGUUACUUAAUUUGCUUUAGGGUUUGUUUGGUUAUUAGUAUUUGCACCGUUUGUAACGGUAGUAUUUAGUGGAUUUGAACCUCCAAAAGUACUAUUUUUUUGGGUGUAUUGUGUUUUAAAUAAAUUGCGUUUGAAAUAGGAACAAGACUUCCGGUACCAAAUAUGCACUUAAUAUUCUACUUUUUCUAUUUUCUAUUAUUUUUUACUAAUGUGAAAUGCUAUAAAUUUCAGUCACCUACCAUGAAAAGGGUACAAAUAAUGAAGAUCAAACUCGUAUGCAGCCUCAGGUUUGUUUUCUGAUCUAGUAUGCCUUCCCUUGUACGCAUUACACACAAUUCAUAAGUCAUACUUUCUCUUCUAAAAACCAGAAUCCUAUUUGACUAGUUAAUUUUUUUACACGCCUAUCAAGGUUUAUGUAAAUUCUGCUGCACACUUAAAGUUAAAGUUUCAAUUUUUUUUCCAACACCAAAUUUUUUUAUACAUUCAAAAAAAUUCCUCUUGUAGGCUUUAGUGUGCAUUGGAAAAAAGUUAACAACUUAAAUUGGAUUCUCACUUUCGAAUGGACAGAAUAUGGAGUGUGCAAUCUAGCUUGUUUGGUACCAGCAUUUGAACUGGUAUCUUUUAGUGUAUUUGGGCUUUCAAAUACAUCACAUCAAAAAUGGUGUAGUGCCUUUAACACUAAACACUAUAUUUUUUAGUUAAAUUAAUAACGUUUAAAAUAAAUUAUUUUUAGAUAAACAAAAGUUUAAAGUGUAUUUAAACUUUUAGACGAACAAAACGCUCCACCAAACAAGCAGUAAACGAAAAUGAAGUCAUCUUAAUUAUGUACCUUUACAUUUCAUCAUGACUAAUGAACAUGAAUUUGUGAUUAUCGUGAAUAAAUUAGGAAAAUAGAAGAGAAGUUGGGAUGGAG